GUUUCAGUGGUGUAGCGGUUAGCGGACGAGCCCCGAUUAGGCGCGAGACGCGGGUUCGAAUCCCGCCUGAGAUG
rfam:Nippostrongylus brasiliensis genome assembly, scaffold: NBR_scaffold0000005